rnacentral:rRNA from 1 species
UCGGUCCCUAUCCGUCGCAGGCGUAGGAAAUUUGAGAAGACCUGUCCUUAGUACGAGAGGACCGGGAUGGACGUACCUCUGGUGUACCAGUUGUCCUGCCAAGGGCAUGGCUGGGUAGCUAUGUACGGAAUGGAUAAGCGCUGAAAGCAUCUAAGCGCGAAGCCAACUUCAAGAUAAGAUUUCCCACCGCAAGGGUAAGACUCCAGAAAGACUAUCUGGUUGAUAGGUCGAAGGUGUAAGUGCAGCAAUGUAUUUAGCUUAUCGAUACUAAUAGGUCGAGGACUUGACCAAU